rnacentral:sRNA from 12 species
UCUAGUAGCUAAAGGGUAAUCAAAAUUUUACAUAUCAGAACCAUAACUGAUUAAGUACUAGAUCUUUCAUAGAAGUUAUGAGUGCUGAUCAUAAUAUUAGUAAAUAUAAGUUAAAGAAAAUUAAACUGUAAAAAGUUGAUUUCAAUAACUUAAAAAGCUAAUUGCAGAAGUUUAAGAUAAACAAAUUAUGGAGAAAUGCUAAUCAUAUCAGCACUAUGAUUAGUAUUUU